rnacentral:rRNA from 1 species
CCCUAGUAACUGCGAGUGAAGCGGGAAAAGCUCAAAUUUAAAAUCUGGUGGUCUUUGGCCAUCCGAGUUGUAAUUUAGAGAAGCGUCUUCCGCGCUGGACCAUGCACAAGUCUCCUGGAAUGGAGCGUCAUAGAGGGUGAGAAUCCCGUCUUUGGCAUGGACCCCCAGUGCUUCUGUGAUGCGCUCUCAAAGAGUCGAGUUGUUUGGGAAUGCAGCUCAAAAUGGGUGGUGAACUCCAUCUAAAGCUAAAUAUUGGCGAGAGACCGAUAGCGAACAAGUACCGUGAGGGAAAGAUGAAAAGCACUUUGGAAAGAGAGUGAAACAGUACGUGAAAUUGUUGAAAGGGAAACGCUUGAAGUCAGUCGCGUCGACCGAGACUCAGCCUUGCCUUGGCUUGGUGUACUUCUCGGCUGACGGGUCAGCAUCAAUUUUGAUCCUUGGAUAAUGGCAAGGGAAAGGUAGCACCUUUACAGGUGUGUUAUAGUCCUCUGUCGGAUGCAAGGGUUGGGAUUGAGGAACUCAGCACGCACCUUGUCGGUGUCGGGGCCUUGGCCUACGUUACGUGCUUAGGAUGCUGGCAUAAUGGCUUUAAACGACCCGUCUUGAAACACGGACCAAGGAGUCUAACAUGCACGCGAGUGUUCGGGUGGAAAACCCGUGCGCGUAAUGAAAGUAAAAGUUGGGACCUCUGUCGUGGAGGGCACCGACGCCCGGACCAGACCUUCUGUGACGGCUCUGCGGUAGAGCGUGUAUGUUGGGACCCGAAAGAUGGUGAACUAUGCCUGAAUAGGGUGAAGCCAGAGGAAACUCUGGUGGAGGCUCGUAGCGAUUCUGACGUGCAAAUCGAUCGUCAAAUUUGGGUAUAGG